rnacentral:lncRNA from 1 species
UCUAGAAAACCCCAAAUCACCAAAGCAAACAACAUGAAACAAACAAAUCAAAGUGAGUAGCAGAAGGAGCAAGAUUCCCUGUUACAGAGUUGAAUUGGACCCGAAAGAAGGAAAAAAAAGAGGAGCGGAAUUCACAAAGUACGAGUUUUGGGGCAUUUAAGUUGGCAAAUAAAACGUGAACUCCAACAGGAAAUGAGAAAGAAUCAAGUUUGAAAACGUAAAUUUGAUGUGAAUUUGUUCUGUUACAGUUUAUGUUUGUCUGGCUCGAGCACACGCAACCCAGUUUAUGUGAAUUGAGCUUUGCUUACCAUAUACUUUAUAUUUACUCAUCAGUAUAUAUUUUCUUCAUUCGAGAUGGACAACUUUCAAUUACUAAUAUUCUAUUUUGCUGUUUUUUUAUGAUUAGUAGAAACAUGCGUAGGGCUCACUGAAAUAUGCCAAUGAAGUCGAACCAAC